AGAGAAGUCGCCAGCAAAAACAAGGCUAGCUUCUGUUGAAGCACAAGUUGUACUUGUGUUUCAUCUCAAAUCGAUCAUCAAAAUACAAUAAUUAGGUGAAAUAGCUUCUCUGUUUGAAGCUUUACUCUCCAGUUUCUUCUGAUUCGCGGAGAGGCAAAAUGGGUCAAGCCUUUCGCAAGCUGUUCGAUACUUUCUUCGGCAAUUCUGAGAUGAGGGUUGUAAUGCUUGGCCUUGAUGCGGCUGGAAAAACAACUAUAUUAUACAAACUGCACAUAGGAGAAGUUCUAUCAACAGUUCCUACUAUCGGAUUCAACGUGGAAAAAGUACAGUACAAAAAUGUAAUUUUUACUGUGUGGGAUGUUGGUGGACAAGAGAAA
rnacentral:misc_RNA from 1 species